AUUGAACGCUAGCGGGAUGCUUUACACAUGCAAGUCGAACGAGUGGCGGACGGGUGAGUAAUAUAUCGGAACGUGCCCAGUAGCGGGGGAUAACUACUCGAAACAGUGGCUAAUCCCGCAUACUAUCGGAUCUGCCCAUAUCGGAUUAGCUAGUUGGUGGGGUAAAGGCUCACCGAGGCAACGAUCCGUAGCUGGUUUGAGAGGACGACAAGCCACACUGGAACUGAGACACGGCCCAGACUCAUACGGGAGGCAGCAGUGGGGAAUUUUGGACAAUGGGGGAAACCCUGAUGCAGCCAUCCCGCGUGUAUGAGAAGGCCUUCGGGUUGUAAAGUAAUUUUGGCAGGGAAGCGGUAUCUGCAGAAUAAGCACCGGCUAACUACGUGCCAGCCGCCGCGGUAAUAC
rnacentral:rRNA from 1 species